rnacentral:rRNA from 1 species
UACGUAGGGUGCGAGCGUUGUCCGGAAUUAUUGGGCGUAAAGGGCUCGUAGGCGGUCUGUCGCGUCGGUAGUGAAAACUCAGGGCUUAACCCUGAGCCUGCUUCCGAUACGGGCAGACUAGAGGUAUGCAGGGGAGAAUGGAAUUCCCGGUGUAGCGGUGAAAUGCGUAGAGAUCGGGAGGAACAUCAGUGGCGAAGGCGGCCAUCUGGGACAACACUGACGCUGAGGCACGAAAGCGUGGGGGGCAAACAGG